GGCCCGGUGGUUCAGUUGGUUAGAAUGCCGCCCUGUCGCGUCGGAGGUCACGAGUUCGAGUCUCGUCCGGGUCGCCA
rnacentral:tRNA from 1 species